rnacentral:rRNA from 1 species
GAUGAACGCUGGCGGCGUGCCUAAUACAUGCAAGUCGAGCGAACAGACGAGGAGCUUGCUCCUCUGACGUUAGCGGCGGACGGGUGAGUAACACGUAGAUAACCUACCUAUAAGACUGGGAUAACUUCGGGAAACCGGAGCUAAUACCGGAUAAUAUAUUGAACCGCAUGGUUCAAUAGUGAAAGACGGUUUUGCUGUCACUUAUAGAUGGAUCCGCGCCGCAUUAGCUAGUUGGUAAGGUAACGGCUUACCAAGGCAACGAUGCGUAGCCGACCUGAGAGGGUGAUCGGCCACACUGGAACUGAGACACGGUCCAGACUCCUACGGGAGGCAGCAGUAGGGAACCUUCCGCAAUGGGCGAAAGCCUGACGGAGCAACGCCGCGUGAGUGAUGAAGGUCUUCGGAUCGUAAAACUCUGUUAUUAGGGAAGAACAAAUGUGUAAGUAACUAUGCACGUCUUGACGGUACCUAAUCAGAAAGCCACGGCUAACUACGUG